rnacentral:rRNA from 1 species
AGUGAACGCUGGCGGCGUGCCUAAUACAUGCAAGUCGAACGAAGUGGCGCACGGGUGAGUAAUAUAUAGUUAAUCUGCCCUACACAGGGGCACAACAGUUGGAAACGACUGCUAAUAACUCCUAGUGUAGGAUGAGACUAUAUCGUAUCAGCUAGUUGGUCAGGUAAUGGCUUCCCAAGGCAAUGACGCGUAACUGGUCUGAGAGGAUGAUCAGUCACAUUGGAACUGAGAGACGGUCGAAACUCCUACUGGAGGCAGCAGUAAGGAAUAGUGCGCAAUGGGGGAAACCCUGACGGAGCAACGCCGCGUGGAGGAUGACACUUUGCGGAGCGUAAACGCCUUUUAUCAGGAAAGCGGUACCUGAUGAAUAAGCACCGGCUAACUCCGUGCCAGCAGCCGCGGUAAUUC